UACGGAGGGGGCUAGCGUUGUUCGGAAUUACUGGGCGUAAAGCGCACGUAGGCGGCUUUGCAAGUCAGAGGUGAAAGCCCGGGGCUCAACCCCGGAAUAGCCUUUGAGACUGCAUCGCUAGAAUUGUGGAGAGGUAAGUGGAAUUCCGAGUGUAGAGGUGAAAUUCGUAGAUAUUCGGAAGAACACCAGUGGCGAAGGCGACUUACUGGACAAAUAUUGACGCUGAGGUUCGAAAGCGUGGGGAGCAAACAGG
rnacentral:rRNA from 1 species